rnacentral:rRNA from 1 species
AGCGACCUAAGGUAGGGUCAGCGAUUGGGGUGAAGUCGUAACAAGGUAGCCGUAGGAGAACCUGCGGCUGGAUCACCUCCUUUCUA